GGUGAAGUAGGUGAAGUUAAAAGGGAUUAAGAGGUACAAACUUCCAGUUAUAAAAUAAAUAAGUCAAGGGAAUAAAAAGUACAGUAUAGGGAAAAUAGUCAAAGGUAUUGUAAUAACUUUG